CCUUUUUAGUCAGUUUUCAUUUUUUUUCCGAUGGUAGACGAUAGCGACCAACCGGACACACUUUAAUAAAUAAAUUUAAAACUUAUGUACACAAAUUAGUUAUUAUAUUCGUAUUUUAGUCGUCUAGUGGUUAAGACAACAGGUUUUCACCCUGUAAACUCGAGUUCGAUUCUUGGCUAAAAUAAUAAUCUAAUCAAUACCAUAUAUAUUUAUUUUAUUUGAUCUUUAUAAUUAUCACACUAACUAAUUACCUUAAACAGUAAAGUAAGUCUAAAACUGAAGAUGUGUAAAAUCGCUGCUUAGAGUAUUUAAACCUGAUAGAGAAUAGUACCGCGAGGGAAAGGUUAAAUGAUUAAAUUAUCGUGAAAACUGAAUUUUAACGCAAACAAUCAAAUAAUGCGAAUGUAUUAUUGUACCUUUUGUAUAAUGGGUUGGCGAGUUAUUUUAUUAAGCAAGCGCAAGCGUAAAGAAAUUAAAUUAGUUUAAUAAUAUAGACCCGAAGCCAAGCGAUCUAAUAAUGAGCAAGUGUAAGGCUGAACUCAUAAAUGUUGCAAAAUUUUGAGAUGACUUGUUAUUAGGGGUGAAAGGCUUAUCAAGCUUGGUGAUUGCUGGUUCUCCACGAAAUCUAUCUUAGUAGAGCAAUUUUUUUUUUUUUAUUUAGGUAAAACUCUAAUAUAAUGCCUCAGUGUAACAUAUAAAUUUAAUAAUUAGAUAAAAAUAAAAAAUUAAGCAGACUUUUAGUGCUAAGAUUAAAAGUCGAGAGGGAAACAGCCCAGAGUAGAUAUUAAAGUAGUUAAAUAGAUUUAGUUAAAAAGAUGUAGCCGUUUUAUAAUACAGAGGUAGGCCUGGAAACAGUCAUCCUUUAAAGAAAGCGUAAAAGUUCAAGUAUUAUUAAAACUAAUUUGUUAGUUGCCAAUCUAUGUCUAUAAAUUAUAGCUAAAAUAAUCUAUACUGAAAUACUAUUAACAGGUAGUGGAGUGUGCUUUAUUUCGAUAAAGAAAAAAUGUCAAUUUUUUUGAAGAAAAAAGUAUUAAUUAUGCCAACAUGAGUAAUAAAUUAUUUUUGAGAAAAAAAUAUGCCGAAUAUUGACGUGGUUUUGUAGUUAUGAUAAUCUGACUACAUAAAAAACGAAAACUAAAUGCAAAAGUAACCUUUGGCAUGAUGUGUAAAAUAAAAACGCCAGGUUAUUUAAUAUUUAUAAAUACUUAUAGAGCUUAGUAAUCUGGUUUGAAAAAUGUUAUUUUAGUAAUCGUACAAAUACUAACACAAGUCAAUUAAUUGAGAAAAUAAAGGCAAAAGAGAGAACAAUACUAAAGGAACUCGGCAAAUUAUCUCUGUAACUUCGGGAAAAAGAGAGCUUUUAGAGCAUGAUCAAAGAAGGGGUAGCGACUGUUUAUUAAAAACAUAAGACUUUGCAAAAUAGAAAUAUGAGGUAUAAAGUCUGACACCUGCCCAGUGCUGCAAGAUGAAAAUUUAUAUGAAUAUAUAGGUACAAAUCCCAGUAAACGGCGGCCGUAACUCUGACGGUCCUAAGGUAGCAAAAUCCCUUGACGGGUAAGUUCCGUCCUGCACGAAUGGUGUAACGACUGCCCCGCUGUCUCUAGUAUUGACUUUAUGAAAUUGAAAUAGACGUGAAGAUGCGUUAAUGUACAGCUAGACGGAGAGACCCUAUGCACCUUUACUGUUAUUUAAUAAGAUUUACAAAUGAAGUGUUAUAUAGGUAUGUAGUAAUAUUAUGAGAAUGAAAAACUACUUAACACUUUGUUUAAAUUACCAAAAAUACUUAAUUUUUGCGAUGUUAAAAAGACAGUUUAGCUGGGGCGGCAACCUCCUAAAAAGUAGCGGAGGUGAAUAUAGGUUAAAAUUAUGCGUAUAAGCAGUGAAUGUUGAAUGAUAAAUUUUAGCUUGAUUAAUUUACAGACGAGUAAAUUAAGGACGUUAGUCUAUCAUAAUGACCCGAUUUUUUAUAAAGCAGAAUAAAUCGAUCAACGGAUAAAAGGUACGCUAGGGAUAACAGGCUAAUAAUUUCUUAGAGUUCCUAUCGAAGAGAUUGUUUGGCACCUCGAUGUCGGCUCAUCAUAUCCUGGUGGAGCAUACGCUGCCAAGGGUUCGGCUGUUCGCCGAAUAAAAUGGUACGUGAGCUGGGUUUAAAACGUCGUGAGACAGUUUGGUCCCUAUCUACUGUACACCUUUAAAAUUAUGUAUAUAUUUACUUCAGUACGAGAGGACCGAGGACAGACAGUCAAUUGUUAGCAAUUACACACAAAUGUAUGUUGCAAAGCUACACUGUAUAAUGUAACCAAAAAUUUGGGAACUUUGUAUAUAAGAAUUUUAAAUAGAUUAGUAGUUUACAACUACCGUAAAAUGCAUAUAGCGAACAUUAAGUAACUAAAGGAGCUAUAAACCUUAAACGAAAAAAAUCUAAUUUUG
rnacentral:rRNA from 1 species